rnacentral:rRNA from 1 species
AACGAACGCUGGCGGCAGGCUUAACACAUGCAAGUCGAGCGCUGUAGCAAUACAGAGCGGCAGACGGGUGAGUAACACGUGGGAACAUACCCAUCUCUGCGGAACAACUCCGGGAAACUGGAGCUAAUACCGCAUACGCCCUAUGGGGGAAAGAUUUAUCGGAGAUGGAUUGGCCCGCGUUGGAUUAGCUAGUUGGUGGGGUAAAGGCUUACCAAGGCGACGAUCCAUAGCUGGUCUGAGAGGAUGAUCAGCCACAUUGGGACUGAGACACGGCCCAAACUCCUACGGGAGGCAGCAGUGGGGAAUAUUGGACAAUGGGCGCAAGCCUGAUCCAGCCAUGCCGCGUGAGUGAUGAAGGCCUUAGGGUUGUAAAGCUCUUUCACCGGGGAAGAUAAUGACGGUACCCGGAGAAGAAGCCCCGGCUAACUUCGUGCCAGCCGCCGCCGUAAAAC